rnacentral:tRNA from 1 species
GGUCCAUGGUUCACUGGCAGAGCAUCUGCUUGGCAAACACAAGGCCCCGGGUUCAAUCCCAGACAGGACCA